AUCCUACACUUCCUUCUGUGGAGGCUUGCCUGCUCCUGAAUAUUCUGACAAUCCCCUGAGAUAUAAAUUUAGCUGGAGUCCACAGGGAGUCCUACUGAACACAGUUCAACCGGCAACAUAUUUAAAAGAUGGAGAGAUUAUUAAUAUUCCAGCCGGAGGAGCUUUGCUUGAUUCUGUUACUGUCAUGGAUUUUUUCCCAGGAUUAAAUUUGGAAGGUUUUCCAAACAGGGACAGUACAAAAUAUGCUGAGCCUUAUGGUAUUCAGUCAGCUCACACUCUCUUACGAGGAACUUUAAGAUACAGGGGUUAUUGUAAAACUAUAGAAGGUUUUGUGAAACUGGGACUAAUAAAUCCAGAACCAUGCCCUGUGCUUAGUGAGACUACACCUUCUAUAAAAUGGGUAAGUACUCCCAUAUUGGUUCCAAACGAAACAAAUAGAGCUGAGCUUGGUGUGAUAAUCAAUUCGUUACUGUAAACUUCGCAAAUUUACAAAAUUUAAUAGUUUAAAAUAUACUGUAAAUAAGAGCAAGCCUGUAAAAUCAUU